GUUGCUUUAUUAUGGUGAACUCCCUGUUAAUUUCGAUUGGUUGGGGAUGUUCAAGUUUCCAAAGCAUAGAGUCAACUCUUACCAGUAUUAAACAGCACCGUGCGUAUUUACUUGCACUGUGUUACCUGUCUCCUGGUACAUGU